UACAGAGGUGCCGAGCGUUAGGCGGAAUCACUGGGCUUAAAGCGUGUGUAGGCGGAUGCCUAAGUACCUUGUGAAAUCCCCCGGCUUAACCGGGGAACUGCUUGGUAUACUGGGUGUCUUGAGCCACUUAGGGGCGACCGGAACAAACGGUGGAGCGGUGAAAUGCGUAGAUAUCGUUUGGAACGCCAAUGGUGAAAACAGGUCGCUGGGA
rnacentral:rRNA from 1 species